GUUGUUAUCUUGCAAGAUUUAAAUGAAGUGAUGGUGGCAGCAUCAAACUGGUUGUCCCCAGACAAGACCCGAUGUUAUUGGCCACCAUUCAAAUCACCAGAUAAAUGUACAGAUGCUCUUAUGAACAGAAUUCAGCCUUUAACAGCAGGAAAACCAUGGGAGAUGCUAAACGUUCAAUUUAAUGGAGAACAUGUCACAUUGGAACAGGCUCAGAAGGCAACAGAUGUAAUUAAACAAACACACUGCAUCACUGGGAUCCUAAAAAAACAAGACUUGAACAUCCUCAAGAAAUGUACAAAAAUCUAUUUCAUCCACCAUCAGUACCAUUCACAUCUACAUCUACAUCUACAAUGCCAGCUGAUGACAAGGAAGAAAUCCUCCAUAUGCUGAGAGAAAUCAAGACCAAGGUUCAGGAAAACUCUACCAUGUUAAAGAAACUAUUAAAAAAAGAGAAACCGGUUUCUGAUCCAGCACCCAGCAGCACAAGCACGCCCUCUAAAGACACUACAUUAAACCUAAAUCUACCCCUUAAAACAUUUGAAGAUGUGGAAAGAACUGAACAAGAGCUGAAAAAGGCAAAAAUGCGCAAAAAAUAUAUUAAAUAUUUGUCAAUGCUUGGAGGGUUUGGGGCGAAGUAUGUGACUAAGAAUAUAAUGCAGCGCGUCCUAACAGAUGAUUUGGCCAAAGAGUUCAACUGGCAGGGGAGAGGUGAAAAAAGACCCUUCUCUCGUCUUGCUUUAGCAGAUAUAA